rnacentral:rRNA from 1 species
UACAGAGGGGGCAAGCGUUGUUCGGAAUUACUGGGCGUAAAGGGCGCGUAGGCGGCCUGUUAAGUCGGACGUGAAAUCCCCGGGCUCAACCUGGGAAUGGCGAUGGAUACUGGACAGCUAGAGUGUGUCAGAGGAUGGUGGAAUUCCCGGUGUAGCGGUGAAAUGCGUAGAGAUCGGGAGGAACAUCAGUGGCGAAGGCGGCCAUCUGGGACAACACUGACGCUGAAGCACGAAAGCGUGGGGAGCAAACAGG